GAACCGGGCUGUGGGGGGCGCGGGCCGUGGGCUCGGGCGGGAGCGAGAGGCCGCGCGGGGCAGCGUGGGGCGGGAGCGGGAUGCCGCGGCGCCUGGCGGGUGGGCGCGCCGGGCCUCUGACCGCGCUCCGUGUCCCCUGACCCCGCAGCGCCGCCCGGCCUGUCCUCGCCAUGAGGCCGCAGCAGGCGCCGGUGUCCGGGAAGGUGUUCGUGCAGCGAGACUACAGCAGCGGCACGCGUUGCCAGUUCCAGACCAAGUUCCCCGCCGAGCUGGAGAACCGGAUUGAUAGGCAGCAGUUUGAAGAAACAGUUCGAACUCUAAAUAACCUUUAUGCAGAAGCAGAGAAGCUUGGGGGCCAGUCAUAUCUGGAAGGCUGUUUGGCUUGUUUAACAGCAUACACUAUCUUCUUAUGCAUGGAAACUCAUUAUGAGAAGGUUUUAAAGAAAGUCUCCAAAUAUAUUCAAGAGCAAAAUGAGAAGAUAUAUGCUCCUCAAGGCCUGCUCCUGACAGAUCCCAUUGAAAGAGGUCUUCGAGUUUUAGAUUGAAAUUACCAUUUAUGAAGACAGAAGCAUGACCAGUGGGAGAUAAACCAUAAAUUAUAGAUACCACCUCCAGCUGGGCCCCUCAUCUCUCUGCUGGCUGAUCACUGAGUGUUCCCUACCUCCUCUCCAGAGCGUCAUUCCUUUGUAUCUGCUGCCAGAGCCACGGUGCCAUUUACUCCAAGGACUAACUUUCUAAAAUUCCACACCUGGAGUGACCUCUAGUCACUCAGCAUCCACUUUGUGUCUCCAAAUUGUGUAAGACUGUAUAUCUUUUAAUUUGUUUCUGAGAAAACAACGAGGCAUUUCAUUUUUUAAAUUUAAAAUCAGUACUAAAAUUUACAGUUGUAAAUUUAUUAUUUGCAAAAAUAAAUUUACAAGGUUUAUUUUAUAUCUGCCACCGGUAUCAAUGGUUUACUUCAUUCCUUGGGCCAGCUUCCCAGGUGACUCUAGUCUUCAAAUCAUAUCUUUACCAGUAUUUAGUUCUAGUCCUUGAAAUUAAGAUACUCUUCUCCAGGAUUUUGGUGAUGGUAGAGUAUGCCUAUGGAUUUGCUAAUCCCAGAUUUCAAAGAACUACCAGUUUUACCAUAAUUUAAAUCCUAAAUAUCAAUUUUUUUCUGUUCAUUUUCUCAAAGUGAAACUCAUUUAAAAAAUAAUGUAUAACAUCAUUUGUUUCAUUCUAGGAUUUAUUCCUAAUUAAUGCAGUAUGUAAUGCAAUUAUGCAAUUCCA